AUACGAAAGGUGCAAGCGUUGUUCGGAUUUACUGGGCGUAAAGCGCGCGUAGGCGGUCCGCGUAGUCAGGCGUGAAAGCCCCGGGCUCAACCUGGGAACUGCGUUUGAUACUGGCGGGCUAGAGUCCGGGAGAGGGUAGUGGAAUUCCCAGUGUAGAGGUGAAAUUCGUAGAUAUUGGGAAGAACACCAGUGGCGAAGGCGGCCAUCUGGCUCGGUACUGACGCUGAGGCGCGAAAGCGUGGGGAGCAAACAGGAUUAGAUACCCCAGUAGUCC
rnacentral:rRNA from 1 species